GCCUGCUGCUGGGCGCCAAGACGGCGGAGCUGCAGGGCCGGCUGGCCGCGCUGGAGGAGCGGGGCGCCGCCGGCCAGGGGCCGCUGCUGGACGCGCUGCAGCCCCGCGUGGAGCAGCUGUUCCGCGAGAAACUGGGCGAAGGACUCGCGAAGCUGCGGACGGCGCGAGAGGCCCCCCAAGACUGCGUGUGCCCCCCAGGGCCCCCGGGGAGGCGAGGGAAGCCCGGGCGGCGCGGAGAACCCGGUAAGCAUCACUGCCCCGGGGCACGGAGGGCAUGGGGCUGCCAUGGGUGCUGUGGGAGCCUUUGGGAAAUGACACCU
rnacentral:lncRNA from 1 species